AUUGAACGCUGGCGGCAUGCUUUACACAUGCAAGUCGAACGGUAACAGGCCUUCGGGCGCUGACGAGUGGCGAACGGGUGAGUAAUGCAUCGGAACGUGCCCAGUCGUGGGGGAUAACGCAGCGAAAGCUGUGCUAAUACCGCAUACGAUCUGAGGAUGAAAGCGGGGGACCGUAAGGCCUCGCGCGAUCGGAGCGGCCGAUGUCAGAUUAGGUAGUUGGUGGGGUAAAGGCUCACCAAGCCGACGAUCUGUAGCUGGUCGGAGAGGACGACCAGCCACACUGGGACUGAGACACGGCCCAGACUCCGACGGGAGGCAGCAGUGGGGAAUUUUGGACAAUGGGCGCAAGCCUGAUCCAGCAAUGCCGCGUGCAGGAAGAAGGCCUUCGGGUUGUAAACUGCUUUUGUACGGAACGAAACGGUCUGGGUUAAUACCCUGGGCUAAUGACGGUACCGUAAGAAUAAGCACCGGCUAACUACGUGCCAGCAGCCGCGGUAAAAC
rnacentral:rRNA from 1 species